GAUGAACGCUGGCGGCGUGCUUAACACAUGCAAGUCGAACGGAAAGGCCACAGCUUGCUGUGGUACUCGAGUGGCGAACGGGUGAGUAACACGUGGGUGAUCUGCCCUGUACUUCGGGAUAAGCUUGGGAAACUGGGUCUAAUACCGGAUAGGAAUCACAGGUGGGUGUGUGGUUGGAAAGCUUUUGCGGUAUGGGAUGAGCUCGCGGCCUAUCAGCUUGUUGGUGGGGUAAUGGCCUACCAAGGCGUCGACGGGUAGCCGGCCUGAGAGGGUGUACGGCCACAUUGGGACUGAGAUACGGCCCAGACUCCUACGGGAGGCAGCAGUGGGGAAUAUUGCACAAUGGGCGCAAGCCUGAUGCAGCGACGCCGCGUGGGGGAUGACGGCCUUCGGGUUGUAAACUCCUUUCGUCAGGGACGAAGCGAAAGUGACGGUACCUGGAUAAGAAGCACCGGCUAACUACGUG
rnacentral:rRNA from 1 species